UACGUAGGGGGCAAGCGUUGUCCGGAAUCAUUGGGCGUAAAGGGCGCGUAGGCGGCUUCUCAAGCGUGUGGUGAAAGUCCGGGGCUCAACCCCGGGUCGGCCGUGGCAACUGCUGGGCUGGAGCACUGUAGAGGCAGGUGGAAUUCCGGGUGUAGCGGUGGAAUGCGUAGAGAUCCGGAAGAACACCGGUGGCGAAGGCGGCCUGCUGGGCAGUAGCUGACGCUGAGGCGCGACAGCGUGGG
rnacentral:rRNA from 1 species